GGUUAUCAUUGGCUGGGAGUGCAGGGAUCCCCUGCGUCACAGUGCCGUGCGCUCCCCCGCCAGAACGCCUGGGGCGGGGGUCUCUGCGCCUGCGCAGUGGAGCUGGGAGCUCUUGGGGCUUGAGUUUCUAAGGGUCGGGUCCCGCGUGCGGGCUACCGGAUGGCGGAAUCCCGGGCGGAGUCGGAGCCCUUGCUGGGCCGGGCCCGCGGCGGUGGCAGCGACUGCCCGGCGGGGCUGACCACUUGCCGCAGCAUCCAAGUCGGCCCUGGUGCCGCGGCCAGGUGGGACCUCUGCAUUGAUCAGGCUGUGGUCUUCAUCGAAGAUGCUAUUCAGUACCGCUCCAUCAAUCACCGGGUGGAUGCCAGCUCGAUGUGGCUUUACCGACGGUAUUACUCGAACGUAUGCCAACGGACUUUGAGCUUCACCAUCUUCUUGAUCCUGUUUUUGGCUUUUAUCGAGACCCCAUCCUCGCUCACCAGCACGGCGGACGUGCGCUAUCGCGCUGCCCCCUGGGAGCCGCCCUGCGGCCUGACCGAGAGUGUCGAGGUGCUCUGCCUGCUGGUCUUUGCGGCCGACCUCUCUGUGAAGGGUUACCUGUUUGGGUGGGCCCAUUUCCAGAAGAACCUUUGGUUGCUGGGCUACCUCGUGGUGCUGGUGGUGUCUCUGGUGGACUGGACCGUGUCCCUGAGUCUCGUGUGUCAUGAGCCUCUGCGCGUCCGCCGGCUCCUCCGCCCCUUCUUCCUGCUGCAGAACUCCUCUAUGAUGAAGAAGACCUUGAAGUGCAUCCACUGGUCGCUGCCGGAAAUGGCCAGCGUUGGGCUGCUGCUGGCCAUCCACCUGUGCCUGUUCACCAUGUUCGGGAUGCUGCUGUUCGCCGGCGGGAAGCAGGAUGAUGGGCAGGACAGGGAGAGGCGGACCUACUUCCAGAACCUGCCUGAGUCUCUGACUUCCCUCCUGGUGCUGCUGACCACGGCCAACAACCCCGAUGUGAUGAUUCCUGCAUAUUCCAAGAACCGGGCCUACGCCAUCUUCUUCAUAGUCUUCACCGUGAUAGGAAGCCUGUUUCUGAUGAACCUGCUGACGGCCAUCAUCUAUAGCCAGUUCCGGGGCUACCUGAUGAAAUCUCUCCAGACCUCGCUGUUUCGGAGGCGGCUGGGGACCCGGGCUGCCUUUGAAGUCCUGUCCUCCACGGCGGGGGAGGGAGGAGCCUUUCCUCAGGCAGUUGGGGUGAAGCCCCAGAACUUGCUGCAGGUGCUUCAGAAGGUGCAGCUGGACAGCUCCCACAAACAGGCCAUGAUGGAGAAGGUGCGCUCCUAUGGCAGUGUUCCGCUCUCGGCUGACGAGUUUCAGAAACUCUUCAACGAGCUUGACAGAAGUGUGGUUAAAGAGCACCCGCCGAGGCCCGAGUACCAGUCCCCGUUUCUGCAGAGUGCCCAGUUCGUCUUUGGCCACUACUACUUUGACUACCUGGGGAACCUCAUCGCCCUGGCAAACCUGGUGUCCAUUUGCGUGUUCCUGGUGCUGGAUGCAGAUGUGCUGCCUGUUGAGCGUGAUGACUUUGUCUUGGGGAUUCUCAACUGUGUCUUCAUUGUGUACUACCUGUUGGAGAUGCUGCUCAAGGUCUUUGCCCUGGGCCUGCGAGGGUACCUGUCCUAUCCCAGCAACGUGUUUGAUGGGCUCCUCACCAUUGUCCUGCUGGAGGCCGGAGAUGCUGGGCUUGCUGUCGCUGUGGGACAUGACCCGCAUGCUGAACAUGCUCAUCGUGUUCCGCUUCCUGCGCAUCAUCCCCAGCAUGAAGCCGAUGGCCGUGGUGGCCAGUACCGUCGUGGGCCUGGUGCAGAACAUGCGUGCGUUUGGCGGGAUCCUGGUGGAAGCCCGGCCGCACUUCAGGCAGUUUUGUCAUUUUAUUCUGACCACGUUGACAUAGAGACCACUGGUGUGAGAAGGUGUCUCUGGGGCCACGGGGUGCUCUGAGCUGGACCCCAGCUGUGCCUCGUGCCUCUGGAAAUAGACGCCGGGAAGAGAAUCUUGCCUCAGGUGCUGUCUGCCCAGCCCCCUAACUUGCAUAGCAGAGGAAACUGAGGCCCAGAAAGGGGACCAGGUGGUCUACUACGAAUUUGCCGUCAUUGGGAUCAGCUUGUUUCGAGGUGUCAUCGUGGCUCCCCCUGGAAACAGCAGCCUGGCCUCUGCCAAUGGCUCGGCGCCCUGUGGGAGCUUCGAGCAGCUGGAGUACUGGGCCAACAACUUCGAUGACUUUGCGGCUGCCCUGGUCACUCUGUGGAACUUGAUGGUGGUGAACAACUGGCAGGUGCUCCUGGAUGCCUAUCGGCGCUACUCGGGCCCGUGGUCCAAGAUCUAUUUUGUAUUGUGGUGGCUGGUGUCGUCUGUCAUCUGGGUCAACCUGUUUCUGGCCCUGAUUCUGGAGAACUUCCUUCACAAGUGGGACCCCCAGAGCCACCUGCAGCCACUUGCUGGGACCGCGGAGGCCACCUACCAGAUGACUGUGGAGCUCCCAUUCAGGGAUAUUCUGGAGGAGCCCAGGGAGGAUGAGCUCAUGGAGAGGCUGAACCAGCACCCGCACCUGCAGCUGUGCAGGUGACAUCCGGGCUGCCGUCCCAGCCAGGGCGGCAGGAGAGAGAGGCUGGCCUACACAGGUGCCCAUCAUGGAAGAGGCGGCCAUGCUAUGACCAGCCGAGCAGGAAGAGACCUUUCCUCUGAUAGACCACUAAGCUGGAGACAGGAAUCAAGUCCUUCGCGUGCGGCCCAACAGCCAUCCACAGAACAGCUGCUGGUGCUUCCGGGAGGCGCCACGCGCUCCGCUUUCUUUUAUAGCUGCUUCAGUGAGAAUUCGCUCGCCCACUCCACAGGGACCUUACAGACAAAAAAGCGAGAAGCAGCGGCCUCCCCUGUCCCCUGCAGCUUCGGGUGCCUUUGCUGCUGGUGGCCGUUAGGGACCACAGGCCUGACCAGGGCCCGCACAGGUUAACCGGCAGACUUCCGGGGCAUUCUGGUGGGGAUGCUGGUGGUUUGACAUGGAGAGAACCUUGACCGUGUUUUAUUAUUUCGUGGCUUGCA